GAGGGUAGAGCUUAGUGUAGAGCCCAUGCUUAAUAUGCACAAGACCCUGGGUUCAAUCCCCAGUACACACA
rnacentral:tRNA from 2 species